rnacentral:rRNA from 1 species
AUCAACUUUCGAUGGUAGGAUAGAGGCCUACCAUGGUGGUAACGGGUAACGGGGUGUUAGGGCACGACACCGGAGAGGGAGCCUGAGAAACGGCUACCACAUCCAAGGAUGGCAGCAGGCGCGCAAAUUACCCAAUCCCGACACGGGGAGGUAGUGACAAUAAAUAACAAUACGGGGUUCUUUCGGAUUUCGUAAUUGGAAUGAGUACAAUUUAAAUCUCUUAACGAGGAACAAUUGGAGGGCAAGUCUGGUGCCAGCAGCCGCGGUAAUUCCAGCUCCAAUAGCGUAUAUUAAAGUUGCUGCAGUUAAAAAGCUCGUAGUUGAAUUUCGGGACCGAUAUAUCGGUCGUGCCUCGGUACGUACUGGUAUUUUCGGUUUCUACCUUCUGACGAACCUAGAUGUCAUUAAUUUGGUGUCUUGGGGAAUCAGGACUGUUACUUUGAAAAAAUUAGAGUGUUUAAAGCAGGCUCACGCUUGAAUACAUUAGCAUGGAAUAAUGAAAUAGGACGUUUGAUUCUAUUUUGUUGGUUUCUAGGAUCGACGUAAUGAUUAAUAGGGAUAGUUGGGGGCAUUAGUAUUCAAUUGUCAGAGGUGAAAUUCUUGGAUUUAUUGAAGACUAACUACUGCGAAAGCAUUUGCCAAGGAUGUUUUCAUUAAUCAAGAACGAAAGUUAGGGGAUCGAAGACGAUCAGAUACCGUCGUAGUCUUAACCAUAAACUAUGCCGACUAGGGAUCGGAUGAUGUUAAUUUUUUAAUGACUCAUUCGGCGCCUUACGGGAAACCAAAGUGUUUGGGUUC